rnacentral:sRNA from 1 species
GGCUGGAAGGAGCUGGGCAUCCGGCCUGAGGCGCAGCGGUCGCGUUAGUUCGGCCCAGUGGCGGCACCGCUGCUUCACACGCGUUUGCCGGGAGAUGCGGCCGCUUCGUCCUCUGCAGUCAAGAUGCUGGGCGCGUCGAGGACUGGGAUUUCAAAUAUGCAUGCAUUAGAGAAUGAUUUUUUCAAUUCUCCCCCAAGAAAAACUGUUCAGUUUGGUGGAACUGUGACAGAAGUCUUGCUGAAGUACAAAAAGAGUGAAACGAAUGACUUUGAGUUGUUGAAGAACCAGCUGUUAGAUCCAGACAUAAAGGAUGACCAGAUCAUCAACUGGCUGCUAGAAUUCCGUUCUUCUAUCAUGUACUUGGCAAAAGACUUUGAGCAACUUAUCAGUAUUAUAUUGAGAUUGCCUUGGUUGAAUACAAGUCAAACAGUAGUGGAAGAGUAUUUGGCUUUUCUUGGUAAUCUUGUAUCAGCACAGACUGUUUUCCUCAGACCGUGUCUCAGCAUGAUUGCUUCCCAUUUUGUGCCUCCCCGAGUGAUCAUUAAGGAAGGCGAUGUAGAUGUUUCAGAUUCUGAUGAUGAAGAUGAUAAUAUUCCUGCAAAUUUUGACACAUGUCACAGAGCCUUGCAAAUAAUAGCAAGAUAUGUACCAUCGAAUGUUACGUUCAUAACUUACUAAGGAUUAGUGUAUAUUUUCCAACCUUGAGGCAUGAAAUUCUGGAGCUUAUUAUUGAAAAACUACUCAAGUUGGAUGUGAAUGCAUCCCGGCAGGGUAUUGAAGAUGCUGAAGAAACAGCAUAUCAAACUUGUGGUGGGACAGAUUCCAUGGAAGGAUUGUUUAAUAUGGGAUUCGCAGAGGCAUUUUUGGAACAUCUUUGGAAAAAAUUGCAGGAUCCAAGUAAUCCUGCCAUCAUCAGGCAGGCUGCUGGAAAUUAUAUUGGAAGCUUUUUGGCAAGAGCUAAAUUUAUUCCUCUUAUGAUUCGGGAACAAAGGCAUUCUGCGAUGUUGCUCUCCAUGGACCAUUUUACUCAGCCUGCCAAGCUGUGUUCUACACCUUUGUUUUUAGACACAAGCAGCUUUUGAGCGGAAACCUGAAAGAAGGUUUGCAGUAUCUUCAGAGUCUGAAUUUUGAGCGGAUAGUGAUGAGCCAGCUAAAUCCCCUGAAGAUUUGCCUGCCCUCAGUGGUUAACUUUUUGGCUGCAAUCACAAAUAAGUACCAGCUCGUCUUCUGCUACACCAUCAUUGAGAGGAACAAUCACCAGAUGCUGCCAGUCAUUAGGAGUACCACUGGAGGAGACUCAGUGCAGACCUGCACAAACCCACUGGACACCUUCUUCCCCUUUGAUCCCUGUGUGCUGAAGAGGUCAAAGAAAUUCAUUGAUCCUAUUUAUCAGGUAUGGGAAGACAUGAGUGCUGAAGAGCUACAGGAGUUCAAGAAACCCAUGAAAAAGUUGUUUUGGAGAAUCAUGUAGCAACAGAUGAAGACGAACCUGCUUUGAAAUGCCAGCGACUAGAAAUCAAUUGCCAGGAUCCAUCUAUAAAGUCAUUCCUGUAUUCCAUCAACCAGACAAUCUGCUUGCGGUUGGAUAGCAUUGAAGCCAAAUUGCAAGCCCUGGAGGCUACUUGCAAAUCCUUAGAAGAAAAGCUGGAUCUGGUCACGAACAAGCAGCACAGCCCCAUCCAGGUUCCCAAGGUUGCCGGCUCCCCUCUCAGGGCAACCCAGACGUGCAACAAAGUGCGAUGGUAAGAACAGACCAGGGUGCCGGGGCCUUCAGGUCACUCGGGGAGAAGCGCGUCACCUCCUCGCCCAGGCCCGCAGCUUAGUGGCUCAGUUUGCUGGAGAUGCGCAGUGUCUGCCUCAGCAGUCUCAGCAGUUUCUAACUAAAGCUGACUUUAGUUAGACUGAAACCGAACACACGGCAUCCUGCCAGGAUGACCUGAAGUCAUCCUCAGCUUUCCUUUCCACAUAAAGCCGGCCCAUACACCUUUUCUUUAGAACUAACCCACCAGAUCUUAGAAGAUGUACACGUGCUUCUUUCCUUUUUCCUACUCUACCUGGCUAGUCUUUAGAUAUGUUUUUCUUCGUAUGUGGUGUUUAUACAUUUCACAUGAAUAUAUCAAACUUUUCAUUCAAA